AUUGAACGCUGGCGGCAGGCUUAACACAUGCAAGUCGAGCGGAGAUGAGGUGCUUGCACCUUAUCUUAGCGGCGGACGGGUGAGUAAUGCUUAGGAAUCUGCCUAUUAGUGGGGGACAACAUUCCGAAAGGAAUGCUAAUACCGCAUACGUCCUACGGGAGAAAGCAGGGGAUCUUCGGACCUUGCGCUAAUAGAUGAGCCUAAGUCGGAUUAGCGAGUUGGUGGGGUAAAGGCCUACCAAGGCGAAGAUCUGUAGCGGGUUGGGAAGGAUGAUCCGCCACACAGUGAGUGAGAGACGGCCGAGAAUCCUACGGGAGGCAGCAGGGGGGAAUAUGGAGCAAUGGGGGGAACCCUGAUCUGGCCAGGCGGCGUGUGUGAAGAACGCCUUAUGGUUGUAAAGCACUUUAAGGGAGGAGGAGGCUCUUUCGGUUAAUACCCAAGAUGAGUGGACGUUACUCGCAGAAUAACCACCGGCUAACUCUGUGCCAGCAGCCGCCGUAA
rnacentral:rRNA from 1 species